GCUCGGUUUGCUCUUGAAUUCAUCUCAAGACAAGGCAGCAGGGCAUGCAAGCCGGGAGGCCGGCACGGACGACGCGCAGACAGGCUUCACCUUGACAAACGAGGCUCUUCGCUGGAGCUGCUGCUUCUCAGCCCAGAGCUCGGCUGCCUCUCGGGGCAGGGCUUGUGGCCACACGAAUGGAGAGAGAGAAGGGGAGCACAGACACUGCGUUUAAUCAGGCAACACUGACGGGACAAAUGAGGGGGGGACACACACACGCUGCAGUCACCGGGGGGGGGACGGGGACACCCACGCCUCUGCCUCAGGUCCCCCUUCCCGGUGUCAUUUCAGCCGCAAAACCGAGCGCAGGGAGCGGCCCGGAACGGGGGGGGCUCCUGCCGGCUGCUUGGUUGGGAUGAUGAUCGGGUUGAAAAUGAGGGACUGAAAUUAAUUAUUUCGUGGUGGCGGCUCCGACCCAGCAGCUCCUGCCCCGCUCCUGGAGCUCCACGCGGGUGGGUUUCUUGCCGAACCCCCGUGGCUGUGGCCCAGCACCCAGCCGCUCUCCGGGGCUCAGCCGAUGUCAGUGAUGGGGAAACUGAGGCACGAGGAGGUUAAGGCCAACAUUUCCAAGCAGGAGGAGCUUCAAGCCGUAUUUGCAGCAGUACCGAGGAGCUGCGCGUCCCGGUGAUGCUCAAGGAGGAGGUGGGGGCCCCAAGGAGAGAGUGGAGGUGUUGCCAAGCCGGGGUCCCACAUCUGCAGCCAGGUCUGGGUGCUGUGGCCAAAAUAAUCUGCUCUGGGGCAUUCAGCGUGCCAAAAGGGGGCAGGACAGACCCCACAGCGGGACAACAGCCAGCCCCGGCCCUGCAGGAGGGUCCUUCCCCUGGGAAAACUUCCCCUCAUCCCCCAGCAGGGUCCUCAUCAACCAGCAAAGAGCUCUGUAAUGCAGGCAAAACCCCAAUUUUUGUUCCUUUUUUUUUUUUUGUCAAAUGUGCAAAUGCUCAGAAAAGGAUGAGAGGGGGCAGAGGGGGCCGAGGGACUGCUCCAUCCCACCCCAUCCGCACCGGCUGGGCAGACGCUGAAUUUUGGUAUUUUGGGUGCUGGAAACUCCUUCUAGCUGGCUGCACACCCCGCUUGCUUUGCAGGUUCUCCCCAAAAAUUGGCGAGGGGUCGAGCUCGCUGUGUCUGACCUGGAUGAGCGCUGACGGAGCUGAAGCACAGCAGCGGGCUGGGAGGGGCAAAGCCAAUGCAAAAGGCAUUAAAAAAAAAAAAAAAAAAAAAAAAAAAAAAAAAAAAAAAAGAAAGAAAAAAAGCACGAUACCGUCUCACAAAAAUAAAAUAAAAUAAUCCUAUAAUAAUAUAUAUCCCUAGGGACCCGGGCUGGGCUGCCAGCGGCACGAGGGCUGUUCCCCAUCACCGUUCGUGCCUCGGCUCCCCGAGCAGCACCCCGGGGUGCCGGCGCCCCGCUACCUUUGGGCUCCGUCUCCAGCCGGCCGGAUCCCAGGAGAGGACCACGCCGGCGCAUCCGCAGUCUGCUCCCGAAACGUAGGGAAGAGGAGCAAAGGGGGCGAGGAGGCUGGAGGGGCUCUGCCUUCGGUGCCACUCGACCCAUUCCCCCGGCCCCGAAGUCCUGGGCGCUCGCCGCCGCUCAGACCGUGGUCUUUUGCAGGUUUUUUUUGGAAAAAGCAGAAGUUGGCGAAUGGCAACGGCUGGUUCGGAGUGCAGAGAGGGGGAGUGAGCUCGCGCUUCAGGUGCAUCCUUUGCUCGCGGAACAAAAAGGAAGGCCGGAGAGGGACAGGCAAGCUGCGCGCUGCGGUGGUCGGAUGGCACGGAGAGCAUCUUCCCCCAGGCAUCUGCGGGAGAAAACCACGUAAGAGCGAGGGGCAGAUCCACAAACGCCUUGGGGGUCCCCAGCUGGGAACGCAGAGAUUGUGGAAAGCUCAAAAAUCCAGGGGGUUAAACCAAAAGCAGGACCCGGCACGGUCGGUGACCCCCAAAC
rnacentral:lncRNA from 1 species